CGGUCUGUACCGGAAGUGCAUGGGCUGCCGAUGUGGUGUCUACUGACUGCAGUUCCAGUUACUCGCCCUUGUUUCCGUGGCUGGGUAUUUGCUUCAAACUAUGGCGCCCAAAGGCAAAGUGGGUACAAGAGGGAAGAAGCAGAUAUUUGAAGAGAACAAAGAAACUCUCAAGUUUUACCUGCGGAUCAUACUGGGAGCCAAUGCCAUAUACUGCCUUGUGACCUUGGUUUUCUUCUAUUCAUCUGCCUCAUUUUGGGCCUGGAUGGCCCUAGGCUUUAGUUUGGCAGUAUAUGGGGCCAGUUAUCACUCUAUGAGCUCGAUGGCUCGGGCAGCCUUCUCUGAGGACGGGUCCUUGAUGGAUGGUGGCAUGGACCUCAACAUGGAGCAGGGCAUGGCAGAGUGAGUGUCCCCCAUCGCCAGCCCAGGCACCUUAAAGAUGUGAUCCUACUGACAGCCAUUGUUCAGGUGCUCAGUUGUUUCUCCCUCUACAUCUGGUCCUUCUGGCUUCUGGCUCCAGGCCGGGCCCUUUACCUCUUGUGGGUAAAUGUGCUGGGCCCCUGGUUCACAGCGGACAGUGGAGCGCCAGCACCAGAACACAAUGAAAAACGCCAGCGCCGACAGGAGCGGCGGCAGAUGAAGCGGUUAUAGCCAUCACUGUGGCCACAGACUGCUGGGCGCUGGUUGGUUCUGUUAGGCUGCACGGGCCCAUGCCUGGAGCAGUGAGGGGCCUAGUUUAAGGGCCAAAAGCAGCCUGAAAUAUAGGAUAACUAAAUAAAUUGUUUAGAAUGUG